rnacentral:rRNA from 1 species
UACGGGGGGAGCAAGCGUUGUUCGGAAUUACUGGGCGUAAAGGGCUCGUAGGCGGCCAACUAAGUCCGACGUGAAAUCCCCAGGCUUAACCUGGGAACUGCGUCGGAUACUGGAUGGCUUGAAUCCGGGAGAGGGAUGCGGAAUUCCAGGUGUAGCGGUGAAAUGCGUAGAUAUCUGGAGGAACACCGGUGGCGAAGGCGGCAUCCUGGACCGGAAUUGACGCUGAGGAGCGAAAGCCAGGGGAGCAAACGGG